AUUGAACGCUGGCGGCAUGCUUUACACAUGCAAGUCGAACGGUAACAGGCCGCAAGGUGCUGACGAGUGGCGAACGGGUGAGUAAUGCAUCGGAACGUGCCCAGUCGUGGGGGAUAACGCAGCGAAAGCUGCGCUAAUACCGCAUACGAUCUCUGGAUGAAAGCGGGGGACCGAAAGGCCUCGCGCGAUUGGAGCGGCCGAUGUCAGGAAUUAGGUAGUUGGUGGGGUAAAGGCCCACCAAGCCAACGAUCUGUAGCUGGUCUGAGAGGACGACCAGCCACACUUGGACUGAGACACGGCCCAGACUCGUACGGGAGGCAGCAGUGGGGAAUUUUGGACAAUGCGCGCAAGCCUGAUCCAGCAAGGCCGCGUGCAGGAAGAAGGCCUUCGUGUUGUAAACUGCUUUUGUACGGAACGAAACGGUCCGGGUUAAUACCCUGGGCUAAUGACGGUACCGUAAGAAGAAGCACCGGCUAACUACGUGCCAGCCGCCGCGGUAACAC
rnacentral:rRNA from 1 species